rnacentral:rRNA from 1 species
UGAACGCUGGCGGCGUGCCUAACACAUGCAAGUCGAACGGAGUCCAGCCUUUAAGACCUUCGGGUCAAAGAGGGGAAGACUGAGUGGCGGACGGGUGAGUAACACGUGGGCAACCUGGCUCAUAGAGGGGGAUAACAGAGAGAAAUUUCUGCUAAUACCGCAUAAGCACACACUGCCGCAUGGCAGAGGGUGAAAAGAGAAUCGCUAUGAGAUGGACCCGCGUCUGAUUAGCCAGUUGGCAGGGUAAGAGCCUACCAAAGCGACGAUCAGUAGCCGAUCUGAGAGGAUGAACGGCCACAUUGGGACUGAGACACGGCCCAAACUCCUACGGGAGGCAGCAGUGGGGGAUAUUGCACAAUGGGGGGAACCCUGAUGCAGCGACGCCGCGUGAGUGAAGAAGUAUUUCGGUAUGUAAAGCUCUAUCAGCAGGGAAGAUAAUGACAGUACCUGAAUAAGAAGCCCCGGCUAACUACGUG